AACCCCGGGAGGGGAGGGAAAUAGAACCUGAAACCCUACACUUACAAGCUGUGGGAGCGCAUUAUUCGCGUGACCGCGUACUUUUUGUAGAACGGGCCAACGAGUUACGUUAUGUGGCAAGGUUAAGCACUUAAGGUGUGGAGCCGAAGCGAAAGCGAGUCUUAACUGGGCGCCAUAGUCACAUGACGUAGACCCGAAACCGGGCGACCUACCCAUGAGCAGGAUGAAGCGAAAGUAAAAUUUCGUGGAGGUCCGAACCCACGUACGUUGAAAAGUGCGGGGAUGACUUGUGGGUAGCGGUGAAAUGCCAAUCGAACACGGAGAUAGCUGGUUCUCCCCGAAAUAGCUUUAGGGCUAGCCUCGAGGUUGAGAGUAUAGGCGGUAGAGCACUGAUCGGGCUAGGGGCCAUACCGGUUACCGAACCUAGUCAAACUACGAAUGGCUAUACUUAUACUCGGGAGUCAGACAGUGAAUGAUAAGGUCCAUUGUCAAGAGGGAAACAGCCCAGAACACCGACUAAGGUCCCAAAUGUUACACUAAGUGGCGAAGGAUGUGGAAUUUCCAAAACAACCAGGAUGUUGGCUUAGAAGCAGCCACCAUUUAAAGAGUGCGUAAUAGCUCACUGGUCGAGAGACUCUGCGCCGAAAAUGUCCGGGGCUAAAGUGUAAAACCGAAGUCGUGUCAUAUGCAGCAAUGUAUAUGGGUAGGGGAGCGUUCUCAUCGGGUUGAAGCAGUACCGUAAGGAGUUGUGGACUGAUGAGAAGUGAGAAUGUCGGUAUGAGUAGCGAAAAGAAUGGUGAGAAUCCAUUCCACCGAAAGCCUAAGGGUUCCUGAGCAACGAUCGUCGUCUCAGGGUAAGUCGGGACCUAAGCCGAGGCGGAAAAGCGUAGGCGAUGGACAACAGGUUGAAAUUCCUGUACCGGUGUGAAUCGUUUGAUCGAUGGAGUGACACAGUAAGGUAGGUCAGCACGCGAUUGGAAGUGCGUGUUUAAGCAUGUAGGUUGAGUUAUAGGCAAAUCCGUAGCUCUAAAAGCUGAGAUGUGAUGACGAGCUGUUUACAGCGAAGUGAUUGAUCCUACACUGUCGAGAAAAGCUUCUAGGUAGAGACACAUCGCCCGUACCAAAACCGACACAGGUAGGCGGGGAGAGAAUCCUAAGGUGCGCGGGAAAACCCUCGUUAAGGAACUCGGCAAAAUGCCUCCGUAACUUCGGGAAAAGGAGGACUCAUGUAGUGUGAAGUGCAGCAACGCAUGGAGCAUGAAUGAGUGGCACAAGAGAGGCGCAAGCGACUGUUUACCACAAACACAGGUGCCUGCUAAAGCGAAAGCUGAUGUAUAGGGGCUGACACCUGCCCGGUGCUGGAAGGUUAAGAGGAGAGCUUAGAUGUAUGUCGACGGUUUGAAUUGAAGCCCCAGUAAACGGCGGCCGUAACUAUAACGGUCCUAAGGUAGCGAAAUUCCUUGUCGGGUAAGUUCCGACCUGCACGAAUGG
rnacentral:rRNA from 1 species